rnacentral:rRNA from 1 species
UACGUAGGGACCGAGCGUUGUCCGGAUUCAUUGGGCGUAAAGAGCUCGUAGGCGGCCUCGCAAGUCGGUUGUGAAAUCCCGGGGCUCAACCCCGGGACUGCGUCCGAUACUGCGAGGCUGGAGGUAGGUAGGGGAGAUCGGAAUUCCUGGUGUAGCGGUGAAAUGCGCAGAUAUCAGGAGGAACACCGGUGGCGAAGGCGGAUCUCUGGGCCUUACCUGACGCUGAGGCGCGAAAGCUAGGGGAGCGAACAGG